GAUGUCCAAUCAGGAUAGUGCGUUUGAAUUGUAGAAAAGUCAGUGAAAAGAAUUCAUGAUUUUCGCAACGCACCAAAUUGCUGCUCUAAGUUGGGAAUGAAGUUGGGUUAGGAAACCUAUUUUCUUUUAGCAAUUAAGAUCACUAAAAUGAACGGUGUUUCUUGUUCGCUGAAAAGACGGCAAAUCCAACCCUCCCCCAACGUCAACACUAAAAGAAAAUAGUUCCGAUCAAGAUGCCGAUCGCGAACAGCCGGGAACUUCCCUGCCGGAGAUGCGGUAAACCGG